GACGAACGCUGGCGGCGCGCCUAACACAUGCAAGUCGAACGGAGCUGAGAGAAGCUUGCUUUUCUUAGCUUAGUGGCGAACGGGUAAGUAACGCGUGAGUAACCUGCCCUGGAGUGGGGGACAACAGUUGGAAACGACUGCUAAUACCGCAUAAGCCCACGAUCCGGCAUCGGAUUGAGGGAAAAGGAUUUAUUCGCUUCAGGAUGGACUCGCGUCCAAUUAGCUAGUUGGUGAGGUAACGGCCCACCAAGGCGACGAUUGGUAGCCGGACUGAGAGGUUGAACGGCCACAUUGGGACUGAGACACGGCCCAGACUCCUACGGGAGGCAGCAGUGGGGGAUAUUGCACAAUGGGGGAAACCCUGAUGCAGCGACGCCGCGUGGAGGAAGAAGGUUUUCGGAUUGUAAACUCCUGUCGUUAGGGACGAUAAUGACGGUACCUAACAAGAAAGCACCGGCUAACUACGUG
rnacentral:rRNA from 1 species